rnacentral:lncRNA from 1 species
AUGUUGAAUAAUUGUUUAAUUUAUGUAUUAGUUAUGUUUACAUACUUGGUUCUUGUAUGUCAAAAUCUGGACUUCAUUAUAUUUAUUGCGCUAAAAGUGAUGUUUCUAUUUUAUUUCAGUACUUAUUAUACAAUUAUGAAAAUAUAAUAUCAUUGCACGGACGACAACAGAAGCUUAUAUUUACACACAUAUAACAAUCACGUGAUUUCCGUGUCAAUCUUUAUUCUUGUAUAUGUUUUGAAACUUGAUAUUUAAACCAUUAGAACUACCCAGGCGUGAAGUAGAAAUUUAAAACAAAUAAAGGUAACGUUAAUAAUAUUCAUACACUUACUUUAGAUUUGCUAAUAAAAGGGAAUUGAAUCAUCCACAUCAUAUGAGUCGAAUUGAUUACUAAUACCAUUAAACUAAAUUUAUAAAUUAA